CAUGUGCCAACGCUCAACCUCAAACAUCACUUCUGACAAAAUACCCUUUGUUUAUGGAAGAUGCAUAACCUUCAUCUGGUAAGAGUUCAUCCUCACCAAUGUUUAUUUGAGAUCAGCUGUGUGUGCUAGUGAGUGAGAGAGUGAGUGUUUGUGUCUGAG